rnacentral:sRNA from 1 species
GUAUGUGCAGAGCAUGGUGAUAACCUGAGUAUCAUAGGCAAUAAGCUACAUAUUAAUGGAAACUUAAAUUUUACUGGAUACUUGAAUUUCAUGCACGAAGGAGUCUUGAAUCUCACCGGAAAUGGCAACAUGAUAGAGAGGCUGAACUUUUACCUCCGGCAAGAUGCCUACGGAAAGACUGUCGUUCUUCACAAUGAUAUCUUAAAGAUUACUGGGAACGGUUACCGCGUUACCGGAGCCUACAACGACGAUAUCAA